rnacentral:lncRNA from 1 species
GUCUUCAAGCUGAGCACACACUGAGCACUGGGCCUGCCUUCUUCCUAACACAGGUUUUUGUAAGCUCCAGACAUUGGAUAAAGCAUUUUGAGGGAUAGGUGAAAACGAAAUCCUGCCCUUUACUCUUGAGAACUCACUCUGCUGUGGGAGGAGAGACAGGCAGGUUACAGGGAGAGCACCCUGUCUGUGAAGAAGCAGGUUCUCAUCUGAUACCAAAUCUGCUGGCACCUUGAUCUUGGACUUCCCAGACUCCAGGACUGAAGAUCACAGAUUGACAUCAGCAGGAAAACUUGCCAGGCAGCAGGAGGAUCCAUUUGAAAACUCACGAGAAAAAGGCCCUUGAGGCCUUUUUCCUGGUUAUUGAAGACAUCUUAGGAAACACUUAUGGUGACAAUUAAUCAAGCAAAAAUAGAUCCAGUUUUUCUGAAGAUCAAGCUUAACAUGUGUGCCAUGCUUUAAAAUGUCUUUCCAGGCACUCUCUCCUGCCCACGGAUCUUGCUUGGGAAAGGAAUGGGGCAAGUGGAAAUGGCCAUUUCUUAGAUGAACACAUCAGGGACUUGCUCCAGUCUGAAGUCUAUACAGAGCUAGGCUUUGAAUCCAGUCACGUAACUCAGGUGUGUGUUCAGAGCUUGACGGAUUACCACCAGGCUGGGCCAACAGGGUCGUUUUCAAGUCAGCUAGCCCUAAAAGGGCAAAAAAUUGUUGCAAUGCUCCCAGAUGUAACUCUGACCUGGUAUGGUUCAGGGACGAGGCCACUCACACACACUUGGGCAACUGCUCUUCUCGUGACCAGCCUCUUUCUGUGGGAAUCACUCCAUGGAGCCACCGUCUCUCCCAAGCUACAAUGUUCUACAAUGGUGCAAGUGGGGGAAAAAUUUCAACAAAAUUUUGGAUAUCAGCUGCUUUAUGAAGGCAUGAUUUAUAAUGAUUUAUUAUAAAAUGAUGGUGUUUUAA